CGAUUGCAUUGGUCAUCAACCGUCUUUUUUACAUGACCACGGAAUCAAAAACAUCAACAACAGCAAAUGAGUGGCGUGUUACGAUCGAAAACACAGGGUAACUAGGCUUGGAGGUGUGGAGAGCGAAAGAGAGGAGAAGAGAAAGGAAUUGGGAGUAGGAGAAGGGAGUCGUCAUGAGCAGGAGGAAGCAAGAGGGUUGCAGAGACAUUCGGCAAUGUUUUGCCUCGUCUCAGAAAAGAAGCAAAAAUAAAGAGAGUGAAGCACAGAGAGAGCAAGAACGUUUGGAGGAUGAAACGUUUGUGUGUCAAUCUGGUAGUGACAUAGAGAGUAGAGCUAGUGAGCCAGUGGGAGAGACAGAAAGUUUGGAGGAUGAAAGCACAGGGAGAGUUUGUCAAUCUAGUGGUGGCAUAGAGGUGAGUCGCCUAAGAGAGGAGUAAAUAUGAAAGGUUAAGACCGAAUCAUGACAUUCAAGCAGAAUCCUGUU
ensembl:lncRNA